AUUGCUGACGACCGGCGCACGGGUGAGUAACACGUAUGCAACCUACCUUUUACAGAGGGAUAGCCCAGAGAAAUUUGGAUUAAUACCUCAUAAUAUUUUUAACUCGCAUGAGUUUUAAAUUAAAACUUCGGUGGUAAAAGAUGGGCAUGCGUUCUAUUAGUUUGUUGGUGAGGUAACGGCUUACCAAGACUACGAUAGAUAGGGGUUCUGAGAGGAUAGUCCCCCACACUGGUACUGAGACACGGACCAG
rnacentral:rRNA from 1 species